AUUGAACGCUGGAGGCAGGCCUAACACAUGCAAGUCGAACGAGUGGCGGACGGGUGAGUAAUGUCUGGGAAACUGCCUGAUGGAGGGGGAUAAAUACUGGAAACGGUAGCUAAUACCGCAUACCAUCGGAUGUGCCCAGAUGGGAGUGGCUAGUAGGUGGGGUAAAGGCUCACCUAGGCGACGAUACCUAGCUGGUCUGAGAGGAUGACCAGCAAAACUGGAACUGAGACACGGUCCAGACUCCUACGGGAGGCAGCAGUGGGGAAUAUUGCACAAUGGGCGCAAGCCUGAUGCAGCCAUGCCGCGUGUAUGAAGAAGGCCUUCGGGUUGUAAAGUACUUGCAGCGGGGAGGCGUUACCCGCAGAAGAAGAACCGGCUAACUCCGUGCCAGCAGCCGCGGUAAUAC
rnacentral:rRNA from 1 species